rnacentral:rRNA from 1 species
UGUCCUACGGGAGGCAGCAGUGGGGAAUAUUGCACAAUGGGGGAAACCCUGAUGCAGCGACGCCGCGUGAGUGAAGAAGUAUUUCGGUAUGUAAAGCUCUAUCAGCAGGGAAGAUAAUGACGGUACCUGAGUAAGAAGCCCCGGCUAACUACGUGCCAGCAGCCGCGGUAAUACGUAGGGGGCAAGCGUUAUCCGGAUUUACUGGGCGUAAAGCGAGUGCAGGCGGGUCAAUAAGGCUGAUGUGA